CAGCCGAUUGAGCAAUUACGAGAUUAUUGGUAACUUGGGUAUAGAAUAUUUAGACGCUGUCUUAAAACUCCACGAGGGGCAUCAUGAAGUUGGGAAACCUGAGGUCCCAUCCUGCCUCUGACCCCUCCUGGACAGGGGCCCUGGGCAAGUGACUUCAGUGCUCAGCACUGCGGGCACCUCUCUAAGACUCGGUGCUGACCGGCCUGGGCAGAGCAAAUCUCCUCCCCUGGGGCUCCUCCUUCCAGAGAAGUCACAGACUGAGCCCUCUCCCAGCUCUGAGCUCUAUCAAAGAAUGGUUAUUCUUAGUGCCCUCUGGCCCCAUCACUGUGAAAACAAAGCACCACAGAGGACCCCCUGCUCUCUCUAUGCAGCCCUAGUUGGGCAAUCGGGUGGCCUUUUUCUGUCUCUCCCUUCCUCUGCCUCUCUUUCUGUAUCUGCCCUAGCUCCCUCCAUUCCUCAGUGUCUCUGCCUGUUUCUUACUCUCUUGCCCCUUCUCUCUCAUUCUCUGUGUCUCUGCAUGUGUUUGUCUGUCUCUGUCUCCCUCUUUCUCUCUACCUUUGUCUCUCUCUCUCUCUAUGUGUCUCUCUGUCUCUUCCCUCUCUCCACCUCCCACUCCCAUCUUUCUCUCUAUCUAUGCCUUUGUCCAUCUUUCUCCAUCUCUCUGUGUGUCUCUUUCCCCUCUUUUGUCUCUCUGACGUCUUUCUUUCUCUCCCACUCCUUAUCUCUGAGCCUCCUUCUUUCUUUGUCUCUGUCUCUCUUUCUCUGUCUUACCUUCUAUCUCUGCUUCCCAUCUCACUGCCUUUGUCUCUCUCCUACCUCCUCAUCUGUCUUUCUCCUUUUCUUUCUUUCCCCUUCUCUGUCUUGGUCUAUCACUAUUCCUCUUUCCCUGUCUCUCUCUCUGCCUCUCCCUCUGUCUCCCUUUCCCUCUCUUUCUUUCUGUCUCUCACUGACUCUCUCUUCUUUUCUCAAUAUCUCUUCCCUUCCCUCUUUUCAUGUCUUUCCUCUCCUCUGUAUGUUUCUCCCCUUUUCUGUCUGUCUCUCUCUACCCUCCUCUGUCUCUGUCUCAUUACCCCUCUUUCUGUCUCCCUAUCUCCUUCCCAGUCUCUCUUUCUGUCUCUAUCUCUGCCCUCCUCUGUCUCUGUCUCCUCCUCCCUCCCAGUUUGUUUCAUUACUCUCUUCCUUUCUCUGUCGCUCUCUCCUUGUCUACACCUGUCUUUCUGUGUUCCUGUCUUUUUUUCUGUUUCUCUGCUUCUGUCUCUUUCCAUCUGUCUCUGUCUCUGUCUAUUUCUCUCUCUGUCUCCUCUCCAACUCUCUCCCUCCCUCCCCUCCUCUGUGCCUGUCUCUCUCUUCCUCUCCCCAUCUUCCUUCCUGUUUGUCUGUCUUCCUUCCUCUGUCUCUAUCUCUGCACCUUUCUUUUUAUCUCUUUCUUCCCUCUCCCCAUUUCUCUAUCUCUCUCUCUGUCUUCUGCUCUCUCCCUAUCUGUCUGUCUGAGUGUCUCUCUCUCUCUCUUUCUGUUUCUGUCUCACUGCCUUUCUUUCUGUCUUUGUCUUCCCCCUCCUCAUCUCCUUCCUGGUCUUGCUGCCUUUGUCUCUACCCUUCCGUCUGUCUCUCUCUCCCUUCUCUGUUUUUCUCUCUUCCCUUUUCUCUAUCCAUCUCUGUCUGUUUCUGUGUCUCUCUCAUGUCCUCAUCUCCCUCCCUCUCUCUGCCUCCCUCCUACUUCUCUCCUUUCUUCCUCCUUCCCCCCUCUCUCCUCUUCUAUCUCUGUCUCUCCUUAUUCUCUCUUUCUGUCUGUCUCUAUUUUUGUCUCUCCUUCUGUCUUACUGCUUCUUUCUGUCCCUGUCUCUCUCCCCUCAUCUCCCUCUCCCUCUCUCUCUCUCCCCCCUACUGUGUCUCUUUCUGCCCCCUCCCCAUCUCCCUUCCUCUCUGUCUCUGUCUCCAUCUCUCUCUCCCCUCUUCUGUCUCUCUGCUUCUCUUUCCCUCCUCCUCAUCUUCCUCCCUUCUAUCUCUCCUCUCCUCUCACUUCUCUCUCCCAGCUUCUCACCCUCCUCUGUGCCCAUCUCUGACUCUUUCUCUCUUCCUCUGUCUCUUUGCUCUCUAUGUCUCUCUCCUCUCCUGUCUCUGCCUAUCUCCCCCUUUUCAAUUCUCCCCUCUGUCUUUCUCUUUCCCUCUUCCCCCUCUCUCCCCAUUUCCCUAUCUCUCUUCCUGUUUUUCUCUGUUUCUCUCUCUUUCUCUGUCUCGUCUCUGUCUCUUUCUUCCCCCCUCCUCCGUGUCUCUACUUUUCUUUCCAUCUCUUGUUCACCCCUUCCCAUCUCCCUCUCUCUUUUUCUGUCUCUCUGUCUUUUCCGUAUCUGUCUCACUGUCUCUCUCCUGCUUCUCUAUCUCUCUCCCUGUCUCUGUCUUUACCCUCCUCUUUGACUGUCUCUGCCUCUCUUUCUCUCUCCCCCUCCCCAUCUCUGUCUCCAUUUGUCUCUGCUCUCCUGCGUCUGUCUGUCUCUCUCUGCCUCCUCCCCAUCUCCCUCCCUCACUCUUGUCUUUUCCCUCUUGUGUCUCUCUGCCUCUUUCUGUCUCUCUCCUCCCAUGUUUUUCCCUGUUUCUCUGUCUCCAUUUCUUUCUGUCUCUCCUCUCCUCUGAAUCUGUCUCUCUUCCUCUUUUUCUCUCUCCCCCCUCCCCUCUCUGUCUCUCUAUGUCUCUGCUUUCUUCUGUGUAUGUCUGUCUCUCCCCCCUCCCCAUCUCCCUCCUCCUGUUUCUAUUUGUCUUUGUCUCUC
rnacentral:lncRNA from 1 species